rnacentral:rRNA from 1 species
UACGGAGGGUGCGAGCGUUGUCCGGAAUCAUUGGGCGUAAAGGGCGCGUAGGUGGCCUGGUCAGCGUGCGGUGAAAGCUCGGGGCUCAACCCCGAGUCGGCCGUGCGAACUGCUGGGCUGGAGCACUGUAGAGGCAGGCGGAAUUCCGGGUGUAGCGGUGGAAUGCGUAGAGAUCCGGAAGAACACCGGUGGCGAAGGCGGCUACUCUGGAACGCAACUGACGCAUGAGACGCG